GUGAGUAGUUCAGAGUUUGAUCCUGGCUCAGGACGAACGCUGGCGGCGUGCCUAACACAUGCAAGUCGAACGGGGCACCUUCGGGUGCUUAGUGGCGAACGGGUGAGUAACGCGUGAGAAACCUACCUUUCAGUGGGGGACAACAGUUGGAAACGACUGCUAAUACCGCAUAAUGUUAUUUAAGGGCAUCCUUGAAUAACCAAAGCUUUAUGUGCUGAAAGAUGGUCUCGCGUCUGAUUAGCUAGAUGGCGGGGUAACGGCCCACCAUGGCGACGAUCAGUAGCCGGUCUGAGAGGAUGAACGGCCACAUUGGGACUGAGAUACGGCCCAG
rnacentral:rRNA from 1 species